AGACGACGUCGAAUUCUGCCACAUCAGAAUGAAACGGCGGCGUUGCUGACUUGCUACAGUGUUUUCUGAGUUCUUCACGAGACGCCAUGGACGACGUUGAUCGCUUGUUUCAGUGCUUCAAAUGUGGCGUGUCUCUUCCAAGUACUCUCUCUACUAGUCUUAUAUAGAUAGAUAUGAUCGAUUUAUGGUAUGUUUGGUCGCUGAGAAAAUGUGGGAACAAGGAAAAGAAAAAUCAAAACUGUGAAUCAUGAGAUGUCUGAAAUUGGGGACGAGAAACCAAGACCUCUAUUUUUUUGCGAUUUUCAUUAUUUGGAAGCCUAUAUAAAAUACUAAAAUAAGUUCAGAACUGUUAUCUUGAGCUUUUCCUCAAUUUUCUGCCAACCAAACACGGUGUGCUUGCUUCUCUUUUCUUCAAUGCUUGGUUAGGGCUUUAUUUUCGUUACUAUGACCGGACAUUUAAUUAAAGUUAGUAAAAGUGGAAUUUUCUGAUAAUUAUGUUUAAUUGAAGCAAAAUGCGUCCCCAAAUUUGCUGAUGAUUCAAUAUUAGGGAUUUUAGAAUAUUUUCUUGCUUUCUUCAAGUGGAUUGGUUUUCAAACUUUCUAGGGAAAAAAAUGUUACGCACACAUUGGUUAGAACUCACCUUUGAAAACCGACCAUCGAAGGUAGGGUGCCC
rnacentral:lncRNA from 1 species